rnacentral:misc_RNA from 1 species
GAUGAAGAACGCAGCGAAAUGCGAUAAGUAAUGUGAAUUGCAGAAUUCAGUGAAUCAUCGAAUCUUUGAACGCACAUUGCGCCCCUUGGUAUUCCGAGGGGCAUGCCUGUUCGAGCGUCAUUAUAACCCCUCAAGCUCAGCUUGGUGUUGGGGCCUGCUGCACUGGCAGCCCUUAAAAUCAGUGGCGGCGCCAUCUGGCUCUAAGCGUAGUAAUUCUUCUCGCUAUGGAGUCCUGGUGGAUGCUUGCCAUCAACCCCCAAUUUUUCUAUGGUUGACCUCGGAUCAGGUAGGGAUACCCGCUGAACUUAAGCAUAUCAAUAACGGAGGA